rnacentral:lncRNA from 1 species
CCGAUUGCUAAGUAUGCGUCACUCGUGAUGGCGGGUGCAACGCUCCAGGACCUCAAAUUCACUGAGGAGGUCAAGCUCAACCACGUCGCUGUGAAGGAAGCUGUACUCCCCUUCGACAAAUUCCCGGGUGCUGAUACCCUCUUAGGCCCUGAGAUGCGUAGUACCGGUGAGGUGAUGGGCAUUGACCGUGAUUUCACGGUGGCGUACGCGAAGGCGCAAAUUGCUGCGGGACAGAGGCUACCCACCUCUGGCAAGGUUUUCAUCUCUGUUCGCGACAGCGACAAGCCUGCUAUAGUGGACGUCGCCAAGCAGUUCCACGAGCUAGGCAUGACUGUGGUUGCAUCGGGUGGCACUGCUAAGACUAUCGAGGCUGCUGGAGUGCCCGUGAAGGUUG